rnacentral:misc_RNA from 1 species
AACGCACCUUGCGCUCCCGGCAGAUCUAAUCUGGGGAGCAUGCCUGUUUGAGGGCCGCGAAUUGUUUCGAACGACAGCUUUUUUCUUUUGGAGAAGGUUGACGGAUCGGUAUUGAGGGUUUUUGCCAUUUAUCGUGGCUCCCUUGAAAUAGAUUAGCGUAUCCAUUUUAUAGGCAAGACGGACGAAAGCUCGAUUUUUGCUCUCUCUUCCCUGCCGGGUUUUGAUACUAUCAGGACUUCGGAGAGGUUGAGAUGGGUAGGAGCUCGACGCAACGGCUUGCUGUUUGGAGUGCUUCUGAAACCCGCCCAUGCCGAGUUUUCUUUUAGAAAGCUAGGAAGGAAUUUAUAAUAAUUCAUCGGCCUCAGAUUGGUAGGACUACCCGCUGAACUUAA